AACGAACGCUGGCGGCAGGCCUAACACAUGCAAGUCGAGCGCACCCUUCGGGGUGAGCGGCGGACGGGUGAGUAACGCGUGGGAACGUGCCCUUCUCUGCGGAAUAGCCUCGGGAAACUGAGAGUAAUACCGCAUACGCCCUUUGGGGGAAAGAUUUAUCGGAGAAGGAUCGGCCCGCGUUGGAUUAGGUAGUUGGUGGGGUAAUGGCCCACCAAGCCGACGAUCCAUAGCUGGUUUGAGAGGAUGAUCAGCCACACUGGGACUGAGACACGGCCCAGACUCCUACGGGAAGCAGCAGUGGGGAAUCUUAGACAAUGGGGGCAACCCUGAUCUAGCCAUGCCGCGUGAGUGAUGAAGGCCUUAGGGUUGUAAAGCUCUUUCAGCUGGGAAGAUAAUGACGGUACCAGCAGAAGAAGCCCCGGCUAACUCCGUG
rnacentral:rRNA from 1 species